rnacentral:rRNA from 1 species
GACGGAGGAUGCAAGCGUUAUCCGGAAUGAUUGGGCGUAAAGCGUCCGCAGGUGGCAGUUCAAGUCUGCUGUCAAAGACCGGGGCUUAACUUCGGAAAGGCAGUGGAAACUGAACAGCUAGAGUAUGGUAGGGGCAGAGGGAAUUCCUGGUGUAGCGGUGAAAUGCGUAGAGAUCAGGAAGAACAUCGGUGGCGAAGGCGGCUCACUGGACUGGUAUUGACGCUGAGGUGCGAAAGCGUGGGGAGCAAACAGG